UACGUAGGGUCCGAGCGUUGUCCGGAAUUAUUGGGCGUAAGGCUCGUAGGCGGUCUGCUGCGUCGGGAGUGAAAACUUACAGCUUAACUGUGAGCGUGCUUUCGAUACGGGCAGACUUGAGGCAUUCAGGGGAGAACGGAAUUCCUGGUGUAGCGGUGAAAUGCGCAGAUAUCAGGAGGAACACCGGUGGCGAAGGCGGUUCUCUGGGAAUGUCCUGACGCUGAGGAGCGAAAGUGUGGGGAGCGAACAGG
rnacentral:rRNA from 1 species